UACGAAGGGGGCGAGCGUUGUUCGGAAUCACUGGGCGUAAAGGGCGCGUAGGCGGCCCCUCUUGUCGCGUGUGAAAGCCCCCGGCUCAACUGGGGAGGGUCACGCGAUACUGAUCGACUGGAAGGCAGGAGAGGGUAGUGGAAUUCCCGGUGUAGUGGUGAAAUGCGUAGAUAUCGGGAGGAACACCAGUGGCGAAGGCGACUACCUGGCCCGGUACUGACGCUGAGGUGCGAAAGCGUGGGGAGCAAACAGG
rnacentral:rRNA from 1 species